GACAGAGGUGCCAAGCGUUAGGCGGAAUCACUGGGCUUAAAGCGUGUGUAGGCGGGUGCCUAAGUACCUUGUGAAAUCCCACGGCUCAACCGUGGAACUGCUGGGUAUACUGGGUGCCUUGGGUCAUCUAGGGGCUGCCGGAACAAAUGGUGGAGCGGUGAAAUGCGUAGAUAUCAUUUGGAACGCCACGGCGAAAGCAGGCAGCUGGGGGAUGCACCGACGCUGAGACACGAAAGCCAGGGGAGCGAACGGG
rnacentral:rRNA from 1 species